AGCGUUAACAAGUUCUGAACUGGUUGUCGGUUUUCCCUGCCCGUCGGGUAACCGAUAAUAAGAUCAAUAGACUGGAUAAGCAUGUAGAUCCCUGAGCGGAGUGCUUGCGGACGCGGGUUCGAUUCCCGCCGCCUCCACCA
rnacentral:tmRNA from 1 species